GACGAACGCUGGCGGCGUGCUUAACACAUGCAAGUCGAACGGAAAGGCCCUGCUUUUGUGGGGUGCUCGAGUGGCGAACGGGUGAGUAACACGUGAGUAACCUGCCCUUGACUUUGGGAUAACUUCAGGAAACUGGGGCUAAUACCGGAUAGGAGCUCCUGCUGCAUGGUGGGGGUUGGAAAGGUUCGGCGGUUGGGGAUGGACUCGCGGCUUAUCAGCUUGUUGGUGGGGUAGUGGCUUACCAAGGCUUUGACGGGUAGCCGGCCUGAGAGGGUGACCGGCCACAUUGGGACUGAGAUACGGCACAGACUCCUACGGGAGGCAGCAGUGGGGAAUAUUGCACAAUGGGCGGAAGCCUGAUGCAGCAACGCCGCGUGCGGGAUGACGGCCUUCGGGUUGUAAACCGCUUUCGCCUGUGACGAAGCGUGAGUGACGGUAAUGGGUAAAGAAGCACCGGCUAACUACGUG
rnacentral:rRNA from 1 species